rnacentral:rRNA from 1 species
UACGAAGGGGGCUAGCGUUGUUCGGAAUUACUGGGCGUAAAGCGUACGUAGGCGGAUUGUUAAGUGAGGGGUGAAAUCCCGAGGCUCAACCUCGGAACUGCCUUUCAUACUGGCAAUCUUGAGUCCGGGAUAGGUGAGUGGAACUCCUAGUGUAGAGGUGAAAUUCGUAGAUAUUAGGAAGAACACCAGUGGCGAAGGCGGCUCACUGGCCCGGAACUGACGCUGAGGUACGAAAGCGUGGGGAGCAAACAGG